AUCGCCCUACGGGGGGCAGCAGUGGGGAAUAUUGCACAAUGGGGGAAACCCUGAUGCAGCGACGCCGCGUGAAGGAUGAAGUAUUUCGGUAUAUAAACUUCUAUCAGCAGGGAAGAAAAUGACGGUACCUGACUAAGAAGCCCCGGCUAACUACGUGCCAGCAGCCGCGGUAAUACGUAGGUGGCAAGCGUUAUCCGGAUUUACUGGGUGUAAAGGGAGCGUAGACGGAGGAGCAAGUCUGAUGUGAAAAUCCGGGGCCCAACCCCGGAACUGCAUUGGAAACUGUUUAUCUAGAGUGACGGAGA
rnacentral:rRNA from 1 species